rnacentral:rRNA from 1 species
AGUGAACGCUGGCGGCAGGCCUAACACAUGCAAGUCGAACGGCAGCACCGUAAGAGCUUGCUCUUACGUGCGGCGAGUGGCGGACGGGUGAGGAAUACUCCGGAAUCUACUCCUUCGGGGGGGAUAACGUAGGGAAACUUACGCUAAUACCGCAUACGACCUACGUGUGAAAGCAGGGGAUCUUCGGACCUUGCGCGAUUGAAUGAGCCGAUGUCGGAUUCGCUAGUUGGCGGGGUAAAGGCGCACCUAGGCGACGAUCCGUAGCAGGUCUGAGAGGAUGAACAGCCACACUGGAACUGAGACACGGUCCAGACUCCGACGCGAGGCAACAGUCGGGAAUAUUGCACGAUGGGGGCAAGCCUGAUCCAGCCAUACCGCGUGAGUGAAGAAGGACUUCGGCUUGUAGAGCCCUUUUGUUGGGAGAGAAGAACAGCAGGUUAAUACCCCGCUAUUCUGACGGUACCCAAAGAAUAAGCACCGGCUAACUUCGUG